CCCUUAGAUGUUCUGGGCUGCACACGUGCUACACUGGCAGGUUCAGCGAGCUUCAUGCCCUGAUCUGAAAGGAAUGGGAAAUCUUUUCAAAACCUGCCGUGCUUGGGAUAGAUGUUUGCAAUUAUUCAUCUUCAACGAGGAUUGCCUUGUAAGCGCGAGUCAUCAGCUCGCGUUGAUUACGUCCCUGCCCUUUGUACACACCGCCCGUCGCUACUACCGAUUGAAUGGUUUAGUGAGGACUCCUGAUUGGCGCCGCCGCCCCGGCAACGGAGCAGCGGACUGCCGAAAAGUUGUUCAAACUUGAUCAUUUAGAGGAAGUAAAAGUCGUAACA
rnacentral:rRNA from 1 species